UGGAGGCAGCAGUGAGGAAUUUUCGGCAAUGGGGGGAACCCUGACCGAGCAACGCCGCGUGGGCGAGGAAGUCCUUCGGGAUGUAAAGCCCUUUUCUGUGGGAAGAAGAGAGACGGUACCACAGGAAUAAGCAUCGGCUAACUACGUGCCAGCAGCCGCGGUAAUACGUAGGAUGCAAGCGUUGUCCGGAUUUACUGGGCGUAAAGGGCGCGCAGGCGGCUUAUUAAGUCUCACGUGAAAGCCCCCGGCUAAACCGGGGAGGGUCGUGGGAGACUGGUAGGCUAGAGUGCAGCAGAGGAUAGUGGAAUUCCCGGUGUAGUGGUGAAAUGCGUAGAGAUCGGGAGGAACACCAGUGGCGAAAGCGGCUAUCUGGGCUGCAACUGACGCUGAGGCGCGAAGGCCAGGGGAGCAAACAGGAUUAGAUACCCCGGU
rnacentral:rRNA from 1 species